AGAGGGGCCGGAAGCGCGGGAGAAAGAGCGCGUCCUCCUGGUGUGCGCGCGCACGCUCGUGGUAAAGCUAAGCGCGGCGCCACUUCCUUGGGCGGAGCGAGCGCAAGCGUUCGUCAUCCGGGCUCCCUGCGAACUGUCCAAGUCUGGACAGAACUGAGCAGCUUGGGUUAUCUGUUGCCUGCCUUUGAAAAUGCUAAAGUCUGUAGAUGCCUUGACACAUGGAGAAAAGUACCUUUGGAGCAACUUCAAAAGCGGAGUGGGGAGCCAGUUCUCAGGAGUGCAGGAACUGUUACAAUAUUUGAGGCACCCCUCUUUGACUAGAGCAAUGAUUCUC